AUUGAACGCUGGCGGCAUGCCUUACACAUGCAAGUCGAACGGUAACAGGUCUUCGGAUGCUGACGAGUGGCGAACGGGUGAGUAAUACAUCGGAACGUGCCUAGUAGUGGGGGAUAACUACUCGAAAGAGUGGCUAAUACCGCAUGAGAUCUACGGAUGAAAGCAGGGGAUCGCAAGACCUUGUGCUACUAGAGCGGCCGAUGGCAGAUUAGGUAGUUGGUGGGAUAAAAGCUUACCAAGCCGACGAUCUGUAGCUGGUAUGAGAGGACGAUCCGCCACACUGAGACUGAGGCACGGCCCAGAAUCCUACGGGAGGCAGCAUUAGGGCUUUUUGGCGAAUGGGCGCAAGCCUGAUCCAGCAAUGCCUCGUGCAGGAUGAAUGCCUUCGGGUUGUAAACUGCUUUUGUACGGAACGAAAAGCCCUGGGUUAAUACCCUGGGGUCAUGACGGUACCGUAAGAAUAAGCACCGGCUAACUACGUGCCAGCAGCCGCGGUAA
rnacentral:rRNA from 1 species